AUGAAGUUCCUGCCUUCCAUAGCCGUCCUCCUACUCCUCUCCUGCUCCCUCGCGGCGGCCACGGUGCCGACCGGCACGAUCGAGCGCGUGUCCAAGCAGCAGAUCCUGGCUAGCAUCCCGCCGGGCGGGCAUGCCGGCCCGCCCGUUCUGUUCCUCACGUCUCCGUCCGGCAAGUACGCGGCCUACUUCGUGCGCACCCACACCGCGCCGGGCGCCGGCGGGCUCGGCGCUGACUUUUGCUACGUCGAGGUGAUGGCCGCGGCCGAGGGCGGUGAAGGAGGCGGCGCUGCCGGGGGCGCGAGCGCGUGGGAGUCGGAGUGCCGGCCGGUGAGCACGGUGAACACGUGCACCCUGCUCUUCUCGUGGCACGGGCUGGAGGUGUUCGACGGCAGCGAGGAGGUGUGGCACGGCGAGACCAACACCGACGGGACCAACUUCCUGCAGACGCUCGAGCUCGUGGACGACGGCGACAUGCGCGUCCGCGACAAGAACGGCGAGCUCGCGUGGCGGGCCAGCGACGAGCCGCGCCACGCGCAGCACUGCGGCGCGCCGGGGUCACCGGGCCUUGCGGCCGCGCUGCCGACCUUCGCCGAGCCCAUCGGCGCGCACAGCAGCAAUCUGCCGUUUGGCCAGGUGCAGGGCGGCAACGGCCACGCGGCCGAGCUGCCGCAGGCGGCGGAGCUCGGGGACGGAGUUGUUCCAGGGGCCGGAGCAGGAGGAGUCGGAGGUGUUGCCCCAGGGGCAGGUGGCUUGGGCGACGGCUACGGCAUUGCACCGGGGGCAGGAGGCGCCGGAGGAGGUGGCUUGGGCGACGGCUACGGCAUUGCGCCGACGGUAGGAGGCGUCGGGGACGUUGCAGGACAUGGUGAAGCGGCGACGGCGGCCGGUGGUGUCGCGGGAGUGGCAGGGUUCGGCAGCCAGCCGCUGGUGGACAACAGCCCCUACGACAGUGGAGCCUACAAGAGCAGCCGUGGGGCCCAUCUCGUGGCCAUUGGAGCUGCGGUGCUUGUCAGCGCCAUGGCCGUGGGGUUCUGA
rnacentral:rRNA from 1 species